rnacentral:tRNA from 1 species
GAGAAAGACGGAAAAGAAUAAGCCCUGCUAAAGCUUAUUAACCAUGGUUAAAUUCCAUGGCUUCCUCA